GGUCCGAGCGUUGUCCGGAAUUACUGGGCGUAAAGAGCUCGUAGGUGGUUUGUCGCGUUGUUCGUGAAAACUCACAGCUCAACUGUGGGCGUGCGGGCGAUACGGGCAGACUGGAGUACUGCAGGGGCGACUGGAAUUCCUGGUGUAGCGGUGGAAUGCGCAGAUAUCAGGAGGAACACCGGUGGCGAAGGCGGGUCUCUGGGCAGUAACUGACGCUGAGGAGCGAAAGCGUGGGGAGCGAACAGGAUUAGAUAC
rnacentral:rRNA from 1 species